rnacentral:RNase_P_RNA from 1 species
CAGAGCAAUAAGCUUCUUAACGGGAAGUUGUCUGUGAAGGCAAGCAGGCGUAGCAGAAAACAACCGCCCCGCAAGGGGUAAGGGUGAAAAGGCGGGGUAAGAGCCCACCGCCGGCUUGGCAACAAGCCGGGCCGUACGCUCCUUAUGUUGCAAAACCAAGUAUACCGACGUAUGUAGGGUUGCUCGCCCGAUGUCGGGGGGUAGGUCGCUCGAGCCCGUCGGUGACGGCGGGCGUAGAUAAAUGACAGACGCCCUUUCGGGGCGGUUAUUUUCUGUUACGCCUGCUUGCCCUCACAGACAACUUCCCGUUAAGAAGCUUAUUGCUCUG